AUGAAGAGGAAGCAACCA
rnacentral:sRNA from 1 species